UGGGGAAUUUUCCGCAAUGGGCGAAAGCCUGACGGAGCAACGCCGCGUGAGGGAGGAAGGCUCUUGGGUUGUAAACCUCUUUUAUCAAGGAAGAUAAUGACGGUACUUGAUGAAUCAGCAUCGGCUAACUCCGUGCCAGCAGCCGCGGUAAUACGGAGGAUGCAAGCGUUAUCCGGAAUAAUUGGGCGUAAAGCGUUCGUAGGUGGUUUUGUAAGUCUGCUGUUAAAGCGUGUAGCUCAACUACAUAAUGGCGGUGGAAACUACAAAACUUGAGUGCGUUCGGGGUAGAGGGAAUUCCUGGUGUAGCGGUGAAAUGCGUAGAGAUCAGGAAGAACACCGGUGGCGAAGGCGCUCUACUAGGCCGCAACUGACACUGAGGGACGAAAGCUAGGGGAGCGAAUGGGAUUAGAUACCCCCGUAGUCC
rnacentral:rRNA from 1 species